AUGGAAAGUGGUCUCUUUGUGGGCCUGCAUGUUUGUGUGUGUGUGUGUGUGUGUGUGUAUGUGUGUUUUGUCAAAGUCUCUUCAUGCAACCCCGUUGACAUCCAACUCGUGAUCCUCUUACCACAGAUUUCUGGGUGCUGGUGUGAUGCUAUGUGUCGUGAAAUCCAGCCGAUAGGAGAUCCUUCACACAGUCUCUGUCUUUUCCGCCUCUCCCCUCGCAGUCGCUGUCUCCAGCUGUGCUCUAGCUUCUGUUCCCACCCUCCUCUGUGUGAGGCAAGUCGAACCUCGUCAGCAGACAAGAACUGGGAAGGAUGAGCAUUGUCUGGGAAAGUCACCUGCCUCCCCCAUCCCGGUCCCCACCACUCUCUGACUGAUGCCAUCGCCUAGAUGAUAAAGCGCCCGUCACUCAAGCACAGAAGUCGAAAUUCAUAGUUCAUUUUUUUACUUAUGUAAGAUCAUUCACUGACAAAAGAACUCAAAAGGAAAGGCUUUGGGCAUAUGCAAAAACGGGGAGGAAAAAAAAAUAAUCUCUCCGAGUCGGAAGCCUCGGGGGAGCAUAGCAAGACUUAUCAAAGUUACAGAGCUCCAUUUGGAAAGCGCCAACCGCCAGCCCUCGGGCGAGGUGCAGUGGUGCAUAAUUAAUGUAGUCCCAGACACAGGUCACUGAAGUGCCCCACAGGUGUGUGCCUGGCUUUCAAUAGGCCUUUCCCUCGGAACUCCUCUUCCGACUUUGAGUUUGUGCUCCCGGAAGCCUUGCACGAUCGAUCGGGAGAAUUCAGAAGAACAAUCUGAAUGCCCAUCGAUAGAAAAUGGCAAGCAAUUACGGCAGAUCCAGUCUCUGGAAUCCUAGGUAUUUGGGAAAAAGAAGCAAGCUGGGUCCCAAAACACCGAUAUAGAAAAGUGGCUGUAGUUUUUGUUGUUGAUGUUGUUUUGUUUUGUUUUUGCUUUUCAUCAGGAAAGCAAAUAGAACAAGGUUCACAAUAUUCCAUUUUUUUGCAAGACUUCCAUUUUUCAAGUAAGUCUUUGUCCUGAAGGUCACACCAAUGCCCUCAUUAUAUAUGCCCUUCCUGCAAUAUGUGGCUUUUCUGAGUUUCCUGAGCAGGCUGCAGUUUGAGUUUGAACCCUGGGCCUACAGGUGCACAGAUGCUAUCAGCAUUGAUUUGUCCCUCUCGAGACUUUCCAGAUUUGGAGACUUGCCACGCAGUGGAGCGUGAUGACUGUCCAAGGGAUGUUUAGGAGCUACCUCGUGCCCCCGACCCCAACCCCCUGCGCGCGCCCCCUGGCGGGGAAGAGGCUUGGCCCUCAUGGGAUAUCAGAAGCAGGAGAACCCUAAGAAAGCGCCCCUCCCUCCGUGCUUGAGUAGACUACUUCGAAGUGGGAUUUCUUCCCGUAAACUUUUCCAGAAGAAUCCGGCGUGAGAAGUAGACACACCUGCUGAAAUCGGCCAGCACAGCUACGCAUCCCAUCACUUUAUUGUUUCUGGAUUAACUUCCGGUUGUUUUGUUUUGUUAAACUUUCUCCAUCACCAGCCUCGCUUGCUUUUCCCAAAUAAAGUGGACCCCGAGAAUCCUUGCUGUCUGCUC
ensembl:lncRNA